CGGGCCACUGAUCCGAGCGUGUCUCAAUUAGGUGGAGCUCUACACAUCCUGCAGAUAUAGGCAUGGGAACGAUUUAUUUCAAUAUCACCAUCUAUAAAUAUACGAGACCCACAUAAUGAUGCUCCACUGGGAAGUCGGUGGAGUAAUGCACGACGUAUCACUCAAGUCGUAACACAUGUCUUGAUAGAAAUACGCUAUAAAUUUGACAGAACGGGUGACCCAGAGAUGGUAUGGGAGCCAUAUUCCGAUGAA